rnacentral:rRNA from 1 species
AGAGUUUGAUCAUGGCUCAGAUUGAACGCUGGCGGCAGGCCUAACACAUGCAAGUCGAACGGUAACAGAAAGCAGCUUGCUGCUUUGCUGACGAGUGGCGGACGGGUGAGUAAUGUCUGGGAAACUGCCUGAUGGAGGGGGAUAACUACUGGAAACGGUAGCUAAUACCGCAUAACGUCGCAAGACCAAAGAGGGGGACCUUCGGGCCUCUUGCCAUCGGAUGUGCCCAGAUGGGAUUAGCUAGUAGGUGGGGUAAAGGCUCACCUAGGCGACGAUCCCUAGCUGGUCUGAGAGGAUGACCAGCCACACUGGAACUGAGACACGGUCCAGACUCCUACGGGAGGCAGCAGUGGGGAAUAUUGCACAAUGGGCGCAAGCCUGAUGCAACCAUGCCGCGUGUAUGAAGAAGGCCUUCGGGUUGUAAAGUACUUUCAGCGGGGAGGAAGGGAGUAAAGUUAAUACCUUUGCUCAUUGACGUUACCCGCAGAAGAAGCACCGGCUAACUCCGUGCCAGCAGCCGCGGUAAUACGGAGGGUGCAAGCGUUAAUCGGAAUUACUGGGCGUAAAGCGCACGCAGGCGGUUUGUUAAGUCAGAUGUGAAAUCCCCGGGCUCAACCUGGGAACUGCAUCUGAUACUGGCAAGCUUGAGUCUCGUAGAGGGGGGUAGAAUUCCAGGUGUAGCGGUGAAAUGCGUAGAGAUCUGGAGGAAUACCGGUGGCGAAGGCGGCCCCCUGGACGAAGACUGACGCUCAGGUGCGAAAGCGUGGGGAGCAAACAGGAUUAGAUACCCUUGGUAGUCC